CAGCAUUCACUUCGGUGAGAUGGCGACCGGCGCACGGGUGCGUAACGCGUAUGCAACCUACCCUUUACUGAGGGAUAGCCCGGAGAAAUUCGGAUUAAUACCUCAUGGUAUCAUCAGAUGGCAUCUGAAGAUGAUUAAAGAUUUAUCGGUAAAGGAUGGGCAUGCGUGACAUUAGUUAGUUGGUGAGGUAACGGCUCACCAAGGCGACGAUGUCUAGGGGUUCUGAGAGGAUUAUCCCCCACACUGGCACUGAGAUACGGGCCAGACUCCUACGGGAGGCAGCAGUAGGGAAUAUCGGUCAAUGGGCGAGAGCCUGAACCAGCCAUGCCGCGUGCAGGAAGACGGCCUUCUGGGUUGUAAACUGCUUUUAUCAGGGAACAAAUAGGCCAUGCGUGGCAAGUUGAGUGUACCUGAAGAAUAAGCACCGGCUAACUCCGUGCCAGCAGCCGCGGUAAUACGGAGGGUGCAAGCGUUGUCCGGAUUUAUUGGGUUUAAAGGGUGCGUAGGCGGUCGAUUAAGUCAGUGGUGAAAGCCCACAGCUCAACUGUGGAACUGCCAUUGAUACUGGUUGACUUGAGUACAGACGAGGUAGGCGGAAUUUAUGGUGUAGCGGUGAAAUGCAUAGAUACCUUAAAGAACACCUAUAGCGAAGGCAGCUUACUAGACUGUAACUGACGCUGAGGCACGAAAGCGUGGGGAGCGAACAGGAUUAGAUACCCUGGUAGUCCACGCCGUAAACGAUGAUUACUCGAUGUGUGCGAUAUUACAGUACGCGUCCCAGCGAAAGCGUUAAGUAAUCCACCUGGGGAGUACGCUCGCAAGAGUGAAACUCA
rnacentral:rRNA from 1 species